rnacentral:rRNA from 1 species
CUGAUGGGCAACGAAGGCCCUCGUCUAUGAAUAUUUUUACAAACGCUCAAAGUAUGACAGAAUGUAUAUCAUAUUGCGUCUGAUAAACGUGACAAAUACAACUUUCAACAACGGAUCUCUUGGCUCUCGCAUCGAUGAAGAACGCAGCGAAAUGCGAUAAGUAAUGUGAAUUGCAGAAUUCAGUGAAUCAUCGAAUCUUUGAACGCACCUUGCGCUCCUUGGUAUUCCGAGGAGCAUGCCUGUUUGAGUGUCAUGAAAUUCUCAACUGCCCCAGGCUUUGUGGCCUGCGGGUGAAGUUGGACUUGGAGGUAUGCUGGCGCAUGAAUGGGCUUUUGUGCCCCGUCUCGCUUGUUGGCUCCUCUCGAAUGCAUGAGCUUUCCAAUCCUUGGCAAAGUAUCGUCGAUGUGAUAAUUGUCUACGUUGCCUGAGAAAGCCGAAAAGGGGAAAUCUUUGAUCACGCUGGGGUGACCUGCGUCUGACAAAUUCGACCUCAAAUCAGGUAGGACUACCCGCUGAACUUAAGCAUAUCAAUAAGCGGAGGAAAAGAAACUAACAAGGAUUCCCCUAGUAACUGCGAGUGAAGCGGGAAAAGCUCAAAUUUAAAAUCUGGCGGCCUCCGGUC